rnacentral:sRNA from 1 species
GCCAGGUGCAGUGGUGCACACCUGUAAUCUCAGAAACUUAGGAGGCUGAGGCAGGAGGAUAGAAAGUGUGAGGCCAGCCUGGGCAACUUAGUGAGACCCUGUUUCAG